rnacentral:rRNA from 1 species
GACGAACGCUGGCGGCGUGCCUAAUACAUGCAAGUAGAACGCUGAAGGAGGAGCUUGCUUCUCUGGAUGAGUUGCGAACGGGUGAGUAACGCGUAGGUAACCUGCCUGGUAGCGGGGGAUAACUAUUGGAAACGAUAGCUAAUACCGCAUAAGAGUAGAUGUCGCAUGACAUUUGCUUAAAAGGUGCAAUUGCAUCACUACCAGAUGGACCUGCGUUGUAUUAGCUAGUUGGUGAGGUAACGGCUCACCAAGGCAACGAUACAUAGCCGACCUGAGAGGGUGAUCGGCCACACUGGGACUGAGACACGGUCCAGACUCCUACGGGAGGCAGCAGUAGGGAAUCUUCGGCAAUGGACGGAAGUCUGACCGAGCAACGCCGCGUGAGUGAAGAAGGUUUUCGGAUCGUAAAGCUCUGUUGUAAGAGAAGAACGAGUGUGAGAGUGGAAAGUUCACACUGUGACGGUAUCUUACCAGAAAGAGACGGCUAACUACGUG